GCGGCCGCUCCGACCCGGCCUCUGGCGCUGGCUCUCCGCCCGCUGGGCAUCCGCUCCCCGCGCGGCACGUGCGGCGGCCCCUGCGCGCCUGGCUCAGCCCUGGCGCCGCUCCAUUCCGCCAGGCGCGGGCGGGCAGGAGCUCUGGAAAAAAUUAUUCUAAGAGACAAAUUAAAAGAAUAAUCUGUAAUAAGGAGACGUCAACAUUCCAUCUCAGGAAAAAACUGAAAACAUGUAAUACAUACAAAGUCCUGAGAAGAAACCUCGAAGCACAGGAAGGGUCUCAUGUAUAGUAGCAUGUUGAGAAAACUGAAGAGCCCUGUAAUCCUGAGGAGGGGGCCUAAUCCAAGGAGAGAGAGGCUCCGGGUCCUGUGGACACACACGGGUUGCCUGCUUCACCCCAUCUAGGAGCUGCUUCCUGAAGCCUUCAGGAGGCAGGAGGCUGAAUUUGUUUCUCAGGACAAUCUUAAUCACAUCCGGACAGGGAGAAAAACAUUCAUGACCUAGGACAGAUAAAAUAUGUAUAAUUAAAAUUUCAUUGAAAAUUGAGAAAUUUUGGUUGUAUGUAUUUAUAGUGAAUAAAGCUAUGUUAUGAUUUAUGAAUGCAAUAUGGAAUAAUUGAAUCGAGCUGAUUGACAUAUAUAUCACCUCAAAUCCUCAAAUUUUUAUUUUUGUGUGUGUGACAAGGACAUUUGAAAUUUGUUCUUGGAUGUUUGAAAAUGACCAAUACACUAUGUUUAAGGUUACAAAUAGACAUCAAUUUAUGUAAACUAUAGGCAAUGAUUGAAAGGAAUAUGGAUUACUAUAUAUGUUUCAUUCUUUAGGAUGUAUUUUAUAAUUGUUAUAAUAAUUUUAUUAUAACAUUAAAUAUAAAAGACCACAUAUAUGUAUAAGUUUGUGUAUUUACACAUAUGUCUAUAGAUGUAAAUUAAUGUCCCUAUAGCUAUGUAGUAGCUGAUAUCAACAGAUGUUAACAAAACUCUAAAAAGAACAAGUGCAAAUUAUUAGGAAGAAUUAUUUCUUGAAGGUAUGUAUUUUAAAAAAAUAACCUUACA
rnacentral:lncRNA from 1 species